CCCUGAGAUCAUUCCAAUUUCUUCAUCUCAACAGUAAACGUCGAGCCCGACUAAUUCCACAAUGAAAAUUAUCACGGCUGUGGUUUUGAUAAUCGCUUUGUCGCUCUGCUUGACAUCAACGUCAGCACUCUAUUCAUGCAUCACGGAUUCAGAAUGUGCAUCAUUCCUCCGGUGUUUCGUGGGACCUUCUAGAUGUAUCAGCCAUCGGUGCCGUUGCUCUAAUGGUGGUACCUGGGGAAUCCGAUAAAAACUGAGUAUAAUUCUGCGGCGAGAGGAUUUUACUCCCUUCAAAUUCACCUACACCAGAGCCAAUUAUUUAUUACAAUUCCAAUGAUGCAGUUGAUGUUUAUUCUGAGAUUGCAUUAGCUGUACUCUGACCCACAUCUCUUAUCAAUAUUUUGACUAUACUUUCUUUGUACUUAAUAAAAAAAAAACAAUGCGAAAAAUGUUGCGAGUUAUAUUCUGAUGAUUAUGAAUGUACCGAUAGCUAAGUAUAUAGUAAUUUUUCAGGAGAUAAUUGUCUUUGAGAGGGUCAUGGGGCACAGCUAAAGUUCAUUUUAAAACCAAACUCCAAACCUGUCAAUGCUGCAGUCAAUGGUGAAGUCGGUGUUGACAGUAACAAAUUCUCGUUGAGCAUUUCUGCAAUUCAUGGAGAUGCAAGGAAAUAAUCGACUAGUUCUCCUGACAAAUAAAUAUAAUAUCGUCUCCUAAAUACAUUAGUGACUCACUCCCACACUAUUCGUUCCUCGAUUACAAGUUCCACAUUGCUCCAAUGACAAUUUUGCAUUCCUGAUACAUCUGAGACGAUUCAGAGAAUAUGGAACAUCACAGAAUUACUUUGUACAUGGUAUUGAUUUUAUAAUUCUAUACAAAAUUAUUAAUAAAUCUUCACGUAUGAGUCCUA